rnacentral:rRNA from 1 species
UACGUAGGGCGCAAGCGUUGUCCGGAUUUAUUGGGCGUAAAGAGCGUGUAGGCGGCCAGGUAGGUCCGUUGUGAAAACUCGAGGCUCAACCUCGAGACGUCGGUUGAAACCGUCUGGCUAGAGUCCGGAAGAGGAGAGUGGAAUUCCCGGUGUAGCGGUGAAAUGCGCAGAUAUCGGGAGGAACACCGGUGGCGAAGGCGGUUCUCUGGGCCUUACCUGACGCUGAGGAGCGAAAGCGUGGGGGAGCGAACAGG